GUUACAAGAUAGAAAAUACGGAACAAUAACAGGUGCUGCGAGCUUUCAAGGUUGAUUUGUUUACCCGGCAGGCAUUUUAUGUCGGAAGUAAAUGUGGGGACAAGUUUUCUUAAUAUGGUAAUUCUAUGAUUUGAGCUGCCUUUCCCCCUUAAAUGUAUGGUGUAGAAUCACAUAUAGCUGUAAGCGCGCUUCAAAAUGAAGGUAAAACAAGUGAUUCAACCAUUUUAUUAGAUAUAGCUGUAUAUUAUGCAUGUAGCAUUUUGGUUGAUUUUGAUUCAUAUUUAAUUUGUUACAGUUUAAUAAUGAACAAAAGUGGGUAGUGCUUACUGGUAGAAGAGAUGUACUGUGUCCAAUAACAUUGAAACACUCAUCAAUAUCCCAGCACCUUUUCUUAACCUCACCCAACUUAGACAAACCUUUACCGGUAAAAAUCUUACUCUUCAUUACUUGGUUGUAUUAUCAGGUGCAUUUAAUUCAAUCUGUUUUUGAAUCUACAUGAAUGCGAGUUUCAAUCUUGUUACCGAUUUGAGAGCUCAUUGAUGAGUAAUAUAUAAGUACAUUUGUCCACGCUCUCUGAGUCUGAAAUAUAACGCUGUAAGUGCGCUUCAGAAUGAAGGAAAAGCAAGUGAUUCAAUUUUGUUAAUCAAAAUUUAAAAGGGUAUUAAAACCCUACAAGACUGAAUCAUUGUGUGACAAAAUCUUUUUUCAUUAUCUAAAAAUGGGGUGGAGUAUAUUGCUCUAGUAACCCCAGAUUUGACCGUUGGAAUCAAUGAAUAUACUUUGUUUUAUAAAUUUUAACUGAUGGAUCAUAGAUGCCUCCGUGACCAUAGAGUAAAAUGUUGGAUGAACUUAAUGACCCUAGUCCCUGAAUGUGAAAGCUAGUUGUUGCUUUAAUUGCUACUCAAGCAGUUGUCUCUAUCGGUGUCCU
rnacentral:lncRNA from 1 species